AGCGAACGCUGGCGGCAGGCCUAACACAUGCAAGUCGAACGAAGUCUUCGGACUUAGUGGCGGACGGGUGAGUAACACGUGGGAACGUGCCUUUAGGUUCGGAAUAACUCAGGGAAACUUGCGCUAAUACCGAAUGUGCCCCUCGGGGGAAAGAUUUAUCGCCUUUAGAGCGGCCCGCGUCUGAUUAGCUAGUUGGUGAGGUAAAGGCUCACCAAGGCGACGAUCAGUAGCUGGUCUGAGAGGAUGUUCAGCCACAUUGGGACUGAGACACGGCCCAAACUCCUACGGGAGGCAGCAGUGGGGAAUCUUGCGCAAUGGGCGAAAGCCUGACGCAGCCAUGCCGCGUGAAUGAUGAAGGUCUUAGGAUUGUAAAAUUCUUUCACCGGGGACGAUAAUGACGGUACCCGGAGAAGAAGCCCCGGCUAACUUCGUGCCAGCAGCCGCCGUAAAAC
rnacentral:rRNA from 1 species